GCACUUACCUGGACGGGGUCAACAGCCGAUCAAGAAGAGCUGUGGCCUAGAUCAAUGGCUCACAUUGCACCUUGUUGAGUGUGUUGGCCUACCAUCUCCCUACGGGGAGAGUGGACGUCAUAAUUUGUGCUAGAGGGGGUACGCGUUCGCGCGGCCCCUGC
rnacentral:snRNA from 1 species